GAUGAACGCUGGCGGCGUGCCUAAUACAUGCAAGUCGAGCGAACGGACGAGAAGCUUGCUUCUCUGAUGUUAGCGGCGGACGGGUGAGUAACACGUGGAUAACCUACCUAUAAGACUGGGAUAACUUCGGGAAACCGGAGCUAAUACCGGAUAAUAUUUUGAACCGCAUGGUUCAAAAGUGAAAGACGGUCUUGCUGUCACUUAUAGAUGGAUCCGCGCUGCAUUAGCUAGUUGGUAGGGUAACGGCCUACCAAGGCAACGAUGCAUAGCCGACCUGAGAGGGUGAUCGGCCACACUGGAACUGAGACACGGUCCAGACUCCUACGGGAGGCAGCAGUAGGGAAUCUUCCGCAAUGGGCGAAAGCCUGACGGAGCAGCGCCGCGUGAGUGAUGAAGGUCUUCGGAUCGUAAAACUCUGUUAUUAGGGAAGAACAUAUGUGUAAGUAACUGUGCACAUCUUGACGGUACCUAAUCAGAAAGCCACGGCUAACUACGUG
rnacentral:rRNA from 1 species